AGUUUCUUCAAUGGGUCUGGCCAGUGCCAGUGGGCCUAGGAGACCAGAACUGCACACCUGAGGAAGAGGUCCGGUGGAACUCAGAAAUGGAUGAGACAGACCCCAGUGUGAUAGAUUUCUCCAGCCAGCCCCCCAGCUUCAAGCAACUACUGCCAAUAAUGGCUUCCUGUGUGUCUCUGCUCAAGUCUGUGCACUUCCUAAGGACCGGAGACCUGUCUGAGACCUCAGGUAAUGAGAGCAGCGUGCACUUUCUGAUGAGUUGGAGACACACACCGAUGCCUCUUGAGAUGCUGAGAAGAGCAUUGUGAGUCUUGCUUCUAGGCAGGCACUGGGAAACAGAGAACGGCGUCCAUGGAAGAUACCUUAAUCUCUCUAGACUUCCAGCUCUUUGUAGAAGGAGGGCAGAAGCUGUGGUCUGUUCUCUGCUGGCUUCUUGGGGACUAGCACUGAACCUGCAUUUGAAUUGGUCCAGAAAACAUUUUAUGAAUGAACGAAUGGCUGAAUGAAUGCUAGGAGGCCAGUCAAAACCACCAGUUGACUAAUUGUAAAGGGUUACACUUGCUGUCCACAUCUCAUUAUAGAACCAAUGUGGAGCCUCGGUGUGGAUUUUGGGACUACGGAGCUGAAACCAACCUCAUUAGGUUUUCUUAUCUAAAGCUUUAAUGUUUGAGGGAGGGGAGGGAGAAAGAAUGGAAGAGGCAGUGGGGGAAUUCAUGAUUCAAAGGUGGGGCUGGGAGGAGAGGAAAUUGGGGGUGGUCAGGAAAUGCCUGUAGAGACCCAGGGGUGGGACAAUGGCCCGGAGCUUCAUUUAGUUCUGACUUGUACUGACUAGAGGUUUCCUUUUCAUCUAAAUGCCCAUGGCUGGAGAGGGAGGCCUGCUCUAUGCUACUCCUCACCAAAAGAACUUGCUCGAUAGCAAUACAGGAAGUGCCACCAAAGUUCUUGACCAGAGGCCAUGUGUGGCUGGAAGCAUCUGCCUUUGGAGUGCAGAUGACUAGGAGACCACAACAGCCCUCAGGAGGGCCAAAGAUACCCUCCUGGGUGAAGAGUGGGGUUGAUGGUAUUCUUAUAGGAUAGAAGAGAUGUGAAUACAGACAGACAAAAGGACACAGACAGGGAUGGAGACAACGCAAAGUUGUCCAGUACGGUGUGUGCUUCUCAGCCCGAGUGUCCUGGAAAACUCAGAGAAGUGGGCUGUCGGAGGAAAGGUGAGGCAGGGAGGCUCUGAUCAAGCUAAGCAGAGCCUUUACUGUCAAGCUGACACAUUUCUGAUUCAUAUACUACUUUUUAUGUGUGAAUAAAUGAGUGACUAGAUGAUGUAAAAAUGAACAGUGGAUGAGCAAGAAGAAAGUUUGACUAAAUCUGUCCAAUCCAGUGAUGGCAGAGGCUGGGAAGAGUCUCCUUCCCAGGUGAGCUCUUUGCCUCAGUGCCACAGAGCCAAGAAGCCAUCUGUGAGCUGCAGUCAGAACGCUGGGAGAGGCAUGCCAGAGUUUCUGGGAGAAUGUCCACAGCCAUGUGAAGAUCUCUGCAUCUCUCUCUCACCGCCCAACAAAACAGUUUGGCCACUCAGGCUAAUAAGAUAACGUCUGAAGUUCCACAAUGGAGGCCUCAUCUCUUAGCCAGAAGCUGGAAUGACUGACAUCUGGUGCUGGGCCCUGUGACUGACAGGGCAUCUAGUGCUGGGUCCUGUGAUUGACAGGGCAUCCAGUGCUGGACACUGUGGUAGGCAGGACAUCCAGUGCUGGGCCCUGUGAUUGACAGGGCAUCCAGUGCUGUGUCCUAUGGAAGGCAGGACAUCCAGUGCUGGCCCCUGUGAUUGACAGGACAUCCAGUGCUAUGCCCUAUGGCAAAGGGACAGGUUCCCUCAGGCCACUGGAGCCCACCUCAAGAGUCUCUUUGCCAGGGAAAUUCUCCAAUGAAGGUUUCUGUUUGUCCUUGAUGUAAGCUCACCGAUGGAUCUGGAGAGAAAUCUUCAUCCCUCUCUCCAGAAAUCAUCCCACCACUGAUGUCCUCAAGAAGCCCAGAUUCUGUAGAUGGGAGCAUUUGGAAGACUACAACCCCUCCUGGGCCAUCUGAAGAUUGCAUGGUUCUUCUGUGACUGUUGCUAAGAUCAUUUCCUAUGUGUAAGGAUAUUUCCACUGAGCAACAGAGACACCAACCUACCCACAACACUUUCAACUCAAAAUUUAUCCUGUCUACAAGAAAUACAGGCACCAGACGAUGGAGCAGAGACUGAGGGGAUGGCCAAUGAAUAACCAGCUCAACCUGAGACCUAUUCUAUGGGCAAGCAACCCCUAACACUAUUAAUGAUACUCUGUUACAUUUGUUGACAGAAGCACUUUGUACUUUCAGAGGCUCUACCCAGCACCUGACUCAGAAAGAUACAGAUACCCACAGCCAAACAGUGGAUAGAGAUUGGGGAUUCUUAUGGAAGAAGAAGAAGGAUUAGGAGGAAGGAUUGUGGCCCCUAAGGGAAUAGGAGCUCCACAGGAAGACCAGUAGAGUCAACUAAACUGGACCCUUGGAGCUCUCAGAGUCUGAGCCACCAACCAAAGAACAUACACAGGCUGGACCUAGGCCUCCCCAAACAUAUGUGGUAGAUGUGCAACUUGGUCUUCAUGUGGGUCCCGAACAACUAGAGUGGGGGCUAUUCCAAAGGCUGUUGCCUACAUGUGGGAUGUGUUCUACUAGCUGGGCUGCCUUGUCUGGCUUCUGUGGAGGCUUACAGAGACCUGAAGUGCCAGGGUGUGGGGGAGAUACCCAGGGGGGUCCCACAUCCUCAGAGGAGAAGGGGAAGGGUGAUGGGGAAAGAAUUGUGGGAGGAGGCUGCCAGGAGGGGGCAGUGAGUGGGAUAUAAAGUAAAUAAAUAAAAAAAGAAUAUUUCCACUGUGGGGAAGAUGUCUCAGCAGUUAGAAGGUCUUGUUAUUUAUGCAGAGGACCUGGAUUUGGUUCUCAGCAUCCCCCAUGGAGGUUCACCAUCAUCCACAACUCCAAUCCCAGGGGAAUUCAGUACUUUGUUCUCACCACGGUAGGCACCAGGUUUAUGAUCAUACACAUAUAUACAGGUAAACUAUUCCUACACAUAAAAUAAAAUGAAUAAAUAUUUUUAAAAGAAAUCUUUUUAUUGAAAAGAAUAAAAAACCUUCAAGAUAACACAGCAAGAGGAAAAGACAUAGAUAAUUACAAGCGUUCAUAGGUCCAGUCGCUGUAGCCCUGUCAUGUGCUCCGGAGGUAUGCACUGAGGUUUUGUGAGGAAAACCCAUCCUUGCUGGGGUCUCACUAAGCCUGGGCAGUGGCUAAAGCCUUGCAAACCCUCCCGGAGAGUCUUGGAUGGAGGCAGCAGAACACCAUCCAAGGCCUGCUACAGAAUAAGAGAGGAGAACGCAGUAUGAGGUUCGAUGAGUCUCCCCUGACUGGGGGCUGUGGAGCUGAGACCCAGGAGAGGGGAAGGGGGCUGCCUAGCAUAACCCUCUGUUUCUAAACAUGUUAGAAUUGAUUCUAGACCUUUCUUCUUGGCUCCAGUUUCCCUCAGACCCACAGGCAGACUCUGGCUGUCCCUGUUGAGCAGGCUCAGUUGUCUCCACCAGUUUCUUGGAUGUGCUCCACACUGUGGCAGUGAACGAGGCACUCGGGGCCUGAUGUGACAAAAGAGGAAAACAUCCAGAAGACACUCCAACCUGGAAUCCAGGAGCCCCAAUUCUCACGGAGCGACUUUGGACAGGUGGCCAAUCCACUAGAACUCUGUUUCCCCAUCAACCAGCACCUUGACCUUGAAUGACCUUUCAGAACUCCCCGAAUCCCUUCAGAACUCCCCGAAGAGAGAUGAUUCCAGCAUACCAGCACUCCUAAAAUUUCAAUCUCUAAGCUCAAGUUUAUUUUCUAUCUUUUGCCUUACUGCUGGCUGGCUUGCUCUUGGUGUAAUUUAUUUAGACUGAGCCAUGCUGAGCGGUUUGGAACUGAGUUUGCAUGAAUCACUGUCCAUAAAAUCAAGUUAAGUGGAUUUCAUUGCACACGGCGCACCUGUGUACAGACGCGGCAAGAAGCAGCCGGAUUUUCUCGGCUCUUCCAGACCCCUGUUAGAAUUGCUUCUCCACUGAUACAGCACUCACCUGUAUUUAUUGUCCAUUGUUAUAACAGCCUCCCUCCGAAAGCUGAAAGUAAAGCGUUGGAGCAAUUUCUCCCGCAGAUCAUUUUAUAUAGCUGUCCAGGUUCCCUAUCUAGCCAGGAAAACUGGCAUUGAUUUUCCCUAUUUUAUCAGAGUCGACAAAUAUCAGAUCCACCUCCAAUUCAGUCGUCCCACAAAUUUUUAUUGAGUGUUAUAUGAAGUCAUCUUGAGGUAGGUACAGGGCUGAGGCUCAGCGUUCUAAGACCUUACAAACUGGGUCAAGCAUUGAGCAACAACUUGAGGUUAAACAACGCAGGAGGCUGCUGCCGGGCAGGAAACGGCAUAUUGGAUACAUUCUGAGUGAGGAGAAGCCAAACACAAGGCAAGUGACACAGGGAAGGAUUAUGGGGAAUUUGGGAAGGAGGCUGAGUAUGUGAGAGUGACUUCAAUUUGGACCAUUGCCCACAUUCAUCCCCCUCUAUCCCUCUGACAGCCCGGACAGCCAUCAUCCGAGUUCAUCAUGUUCCGUAAAAGGAUGUGAUGGGGUGGGGGUGGAGAUGACAUUUAUGGGAAGAAAUGCCCAAAGGGUCUGCUCUGGUGCUCGUGAAAAUAUAUUUCAGAGCCAGUGUGAAGGAUUAUAAAGGGAUUUAUUUCAUUUUGUAGCACAGCCAAAAGCACAGGUAGGCUCUGGACUAAAAUGGUGGCUUAGGAGACUGGCUGCUUGUAUCUUUGUUCUUCUUUUCUGUCAUGAUGUAGGAAGUGCGUGGCCUCUGUUCUGCCACAGAAUAAACAUUUUGGUUUUCCAGGCUGA